GAGCAACAGUGGUUCAUAAUUUUACAGUUUUCUGGGCUCAGGUUCAAAGCCAAAUUCUUGUAUCUUCAAGUCCACCAGUUUCAGAUUUACCCAGUUUCCCACAGAGUUCUAGACCUUCUUUAACAAUGUCCUCAACAGAAGUGUGUGGUGCACUGAAGUUCUGUUUCAGCAGCCUUGCAGGAUGCGAUCCACAUGACCCGAGCUGUUACUUUAUGUCAUCAGAGGCAUUGGAGAGUGGUGGUUUCAAAUUUGAAAUGAGUGGACUUUCAGAUGGAUAUGUAGCUAUUGGCUUUUCUGAUGACACUACUAUGGGGAAUGACGAC